GACAGAGUUCAGGUGUGGACUAGACUAUAUGACUCAUUGAGAGCAGAAACAGCACUGAAAUGAAAGUUUGUGUGAGUGUGUUUAGGAAUGCUUCUCUUGUAGCUGGAUUAAGACGGACUGAAGAAGUUCUAGACAAGUCUCAGAAAAGGCAGAAGACCAGCUGUUUGUGUGUGUCUGUGUGGAGAGUAAAAACAAUAUAAUGGACCUUCAUCAGUCCAGCAGUGAAGGAGGAAACCCUGACCCAAACGUAAAGUCUGCAGAACCCAGCUGUGUGUCUAUGAAGAGUGACCGGUCUAUAGGGGAACGUCCAGGAUUCAGCAGUGGAGGAGGAGAACCCAGCUGUGUGUCUAUGAAGAGUGACCGGUCUAUAGGGGAACGUCCUGGAUUCAGCAGUGGAGGAGGAGAACCCAGCUCUGUGUCUAUGAAGAGUGACCCGUCUAUAGGGGAACCUCCUGGAUUCAGCAGUGGAGAAGGAGAACCCAGCUGUGUGCCCAAGAAGAGUGAACAGCCUAUGGAGGAUCCUCCUAGAUUCAGCAGUGGAGAAGCAUCUGACCCAGAGCAGUUCUCCACAAAAGCAGCACUACACACAGACACUCAGGUAGGAGGAACUGGACCCCUGCAGCAGGAUAUCCACCAAGCAGAGGACGAUGUCCUGUACAAAGUGAUGAAGCAAUACAAAACCAGCAUGAAGAACAAGUAUGAGACCUUAUAUGAGGGAUUCAAAACAGAAGAGAAUAAAACUCUCCUGAACAGUUUUAAACACAGCUCUACAUCAUAGAGGGAGAGAGUGAAGCGGUGAAUAAAGAACAUGAAGUUUUACUGAUAACA
rnacentral:lncRNA from 1 species